CGGGGGGGGGGGCAAGCGUUGUUCGGAAUUACUGGGCGUAAAGGGCGUGUAGGCGGUCCCGCAAGUCUUUCGUGAAAUCCCACAGCUCAACUGUGGAACUGCGAGGGAAACUGCAGGACUUGAGUCCCGGGAGAGGAGAGUGGAAUUCCCAGUGUAGCGGUGAAAUGCGUAGAUAUUGGGAGGAACACCGGUGGCGAAGGCGGCUCUCUGGACCGGUACUGACGCUGAGGCGCGAAAGCUAGGGGAGCAAACGGGAUUAGAUACCCCGGUAGUCCUAGCCUUAAACGAUGAGCACUUGGUGUGGCAGGUAUCGACCCCUGCCGUGCCGAAGCUAACGCAUUAAGUGCUCCGCCUGGGGAGUACGGUCGCAAAGGCUG
rnacentral:rRNA from 1 species